GACGAACGCUGGCGGCGUGCUUAACACAUGCAAGUCGUACGGUAAGGCCCUUUCGGGGGUGCACGAGUGGCGAACGGGUGAGUAACACGUGAGUAACCUGCCCACAACUUUGGGAUAACGCUAGGAAACUGGUGCUAAUACUGGAUAUGUGCUCCUGCUGCCUGGUGGGGGUUGGAAAGCUCCGGCGGUUGUGGAUGGACUCGCGGCCUAUCAGCUUGUUGGUGGGGUAGUGGCCUACCAAGGCGGCGACGGGUAGCCGGCCUGAGAGGGUGACCGGCCACAUUGGGACUGAGAUACGGCCCAGACUCCUACGGGAGGCAGCAGUGGGGAAUAUUGCACAAUGGGCGCAAGCCUGAUGCAGCAACGCCGCGUGCGGGAUGACGGCCUUCGGGUUGUAAACCGCUUUCAGCAGGGACGAAGCUUUUUGUGACGGUACCUGCAGAAGAAGCACCGGCUAACUACGUG
rnacentral:rRNA from 1 species